ensembl:lncRNA
AUGGAACACAAAUGUGAACCAGGAACAAUAAGAAUAAUCCUCAUGGCUGCCAUUUCUCAAGCAGGCAGUGUCCUGGGCACCACACAAUCAUACAUCCUCAGAGCCAGCCCAUGGGGUCCUAUUAUCACCCAUUUGAUGGAUGAGGAAGCUGAGGCUCAGUGCCUCAGCCAUGGCGGAGCCAGCGUUCAGACCCUGGGCCACUCUGUGCUUCUGCAGGGUCUAGGCUCAAGCAGAGGCUGGCCUCCCAAAGAAGGGCCUCCAAGGAGCUUCCAGAGCCCGUGGGACACUAAACUAGCUCUUCACCGAGUCCCUGAGCCACCCAGGGCAGCGGGGAAGUGGCCAGCCGUGAGUCUGUGUAACUGCAGCCAGCCCCACCUUCAGGCCAGCGCUCAGGGCCCUCCAGUUCGAGUGCUGACUCCCAAACCCAGCUCCUUGAGGCCACUCCAAGAUCCCUCUCUGUGGCGGACACUGGGCUGGGCGCUGGCAAGACAGACCUAAAAGUGACAGAGGUGCUCGAGUCAAGGUGAAUGUAUAUGAUUCAUCGUGCAAACGGGGACAUGUGUGAAGGGAAGUCUACUAAUAAUUAUGGUGGGACCGCAGCGUAAACCCUGGCAAACCAAGGUGCAAGGUCACUCCCGUUAAAUAGAAAAGUGAGGGGAGACUUAAUCGAUGGAGGACAGGCAGAGGGGAGUCUUGGCAGGGGUAAUGGCAGGUACGGGGAUGUGGCAAGCUUGGGGACAAGUGGAGAGUUUAUGGUGGCAAGGAUGUGGUGUGUGCUGCGGAGAAGGAGCAGAAGAGAGGCCGGGGUCUCCAGGCGGUAAGAGGUGGGCAGUUUGGAACAACUAGAAUAGGAUGGCAGACACCUUGCAGCUGCCAGCCCUGGACCCAUGGCAGGAUCACUAAGUGACCAUCACACUCCUUCCCACUGAUUCAGCCUCACGGCCCUCCACACAGUGUUGGGGGGCGGGGAGGGGGGCCAGUCACUGCCAGCGGAAAAGCUGGGCCCCAGAUGAAACCUAUUUGCCAUUGGAGGCUAAGCGGUGGGUACAAGUGUGGACUUUGCUGGAGAUGAGGCUGGAGUUCAAACUGAAAGAGACCUAGAAUGUGGGGGAAGGAGCUAGAAUGUUGUCUAGGUAUUAGGGAGCCAUCAGAGGGUGUUGGGGGGAGGGAUAUAACUAGACUAACAUUUCAGGAGUUGGUCUAAAUGAUCACUGCCAUUGGUGGAAGGACCUGGAAUGACAGGGUGAGAAUGGAUGGGGCUCUGACCGGAUGUGGAGCAGAGAUGUGGAGCAGAGACGUGGGGCUGAAGGCCGAGAAGAGGUUUUUCAUGGGGCAGGGAAAGAAGAGGCAGGCAGAUAGGCCUCUGGAGUCCUGGCCCCAGUGGGAAGACUGUUGGCAGGGAGGUGUAACAGCACAGCAGGAGGUCCUGAUAGGAAUCUUUGUUCCAGAGGCCGCCCUGAGACUCUGUGCCCCCAGGGGGAAGGAGGCCCAACAGGUCCGGUGGCUUUUACUGUGGAGAGCAUCAGAGCCUGGAGAAAUUCACCUUUAGAGGGAAACAAACCAUCAUGAAAUGCACCCCCCUCCCCCCCACUCAGGGCCCCUCCGCAGAGGAGAGGAGGUGGCCCUGGUACUGCUUAUAAUGUCUGGGGGUAACUGCAAGAGGGGGGCACUGACACGUCAUCCCUGAUUGGAUGUCUGCUUAGCCAUGGGCUGCCACCUGCCCCAGGGCCACCAGAAAGGGACAUGGGGGCACAGUGCCAGGGUAAGGGCCUUUGGUUUCUGGCUCCAGGGAGGCAGAGUGGUUGAGUGGAGCCACCAGCUGUGGCCAGUUGAAGGAAGUGGAGGCUGCAGGCUCCCUGGAGUCUUCUCAGCCUGGGGCCAGGGUCUUGGCCCUGGGGGUGGGUGUGGGGAGCUUGGAGCACAGGGUGGCUUUGUCUGAGGAGGGGCCACCAGUGCCUGGGAGAGGGGCCAGAAAUUGAGUUCCUGGUCAGUGGAACCCUGGGGGCCUCCACCUGCUACCACCAGAUCUACAGGCGUUGAGCUAAUUCCACCACAGCCGUGACUCUCCAAAGGGGAACCACAGCCUGGCCAGGUGCCUCUAGAAGGACGACCAUUCCCUCUGUCUCCUCCCUUAACCCCAGCCCUGGGGUGAGCCCAGAGGAAGGGCGUGGAUGCAUGUGUGACAGAGACCACACACACACACACACACACACACACACACACACACGCACAUACGUGCACAUUCACACACUCAGGCCCCCAGAGCUCCCAGCUUGGCUCACCUUGUGGUGGAAGAAGAAAGUUUGGAAUCAAAUCUGAGCCUGAAGGUUUUUUUUGGUUUUGGUUUUUUUGGCUGCUCGCAUGGCAUGUGGAAGUGCUCGGAAUAAGGAUUGAACCCACAUUGUAGCCGUGACCCAAGCCCCUACAGUGACAAUGCAGGAUCCUUAACCCACUUUCCACAAGAGAACGCCUGAGCCUAAAGUUUUACAAGGCCCAGGUCUUGGGAGUUCCUAUUGUGGCACAGAGGGUUAAGAAUCUGACUGCAGCGUCUGGAGUUGAGGCAUAACAUGGGUUUGAUCUCUGGUUUGGCGCAGUGGGUUAAAGGAUCUGGCGAGGCCACAGCUAUGGCACAGGUCACAGCUCUGGCUCAGAUUCAGCCCCUGGCUCAGAACGUCCUUAUGCAGAGGUGUGGCCAUUAAAAAAGUAAACUCCCAGAGCUUAACCAGAAUGAGACUGCUUUUAUAUCCAAAAGUGUCUAAACGUUAGAAACUGGACCAAAUACUGUCAAAGGUGCAGAACUCCCCUCUGGUGGAGGGGCUCACAGAGCCCAACUGGUAGCUGUUCUUCGAAAAAUAAAGCUGUGCCCAAAUUGUAACCCAGUGAAUGACCCGAAGGUCUUUAAUGAGCUGUUUCCAAGGGGAACACAGAAAGGGGAUGGGAUUUGAAGGGGAAAGAUGAUCAGAGACCGGGAUGGAACGAAGCUUUAUUGAAUGAAUUAGGCAGAGGGGUCCGGGAAGGUCGGACACCUGACUGUCCACCCCCUGCAAGGUCUGGGAGCGCUGUCCCUAUGGGAAUCGUGGGGUCACUGUGUCAAUGGUUGGGCUUCUGCCCUCAACCCAAUGCUGAGCCCCCUCUAGGUUGGUUUCAGACUUGAGGAGACCUCUCCCUCCAAAGCCGGGCCUGAAUCUCAGGAUCCCUUAACUUUAAGUGGGCCCCGUGGGCCAGGCCUGAAACCAGGGAGGUGACCUUCCAGAGAGGAAGGGGCCAGCAGCCAGAGCUUGGUCCUCGCUUAGCCUGUCACCCCUGGGGCCAGGGCGGGAAGACAGCAGAGGGAAGAGGAGGAGGAGAGCUUUGGCCAAGGGUGGGGUCGGAUUCCCCCAGGUCCGGCUCCCUUGUGAGAGGUGGCGGGUAAGGAAAGAACGUGUGAACGAGGGAGUCUUGCCCCCAGUGCCUAGCGCUGCAGAGAGGGGUUCGGUUCGUGUCGGGGUGUCUGAGGGUGAGGGGUCUGGGGUGAUCCAGGGGGAUGGGUGUGAGGUCGGGGGCCCUCAGGAGAAGGACAUCUGGAUGUCAUCAGAGUCGAGCGGACGUGCAGCCUUGGAGCCAAAGCAGAGAGCACGAAGAGGCGGCGAGGAGAAGGGAGCCUCGGAGGAGCCUGUAUUUGGAGGCGGGAGGAAAAGCUGCAGGAACUGGCCCAAGAGCUCCGCAGCCGCCAGAUCCUGGCCGGCCUCCGGGCCCUUCUGGCAGCUGACAAGAUGCAUCUCUCAACUGCUCUGGAAAACCUAAUGGCCUUGAGUCUGCCCAGGUGGGCAGCGGGACAAAUGUACCUCCCCGCUUCCUGCACCCCCUCCUCGGGCUCUGGCGGCUGGCCCGGGCCGCC